rnacentral:misc_RNA from 1 species
GAAAUGCGAUAAGUAAUGUGAAUUGCAGAAUUCCGUGAAUCAUUAAAUCUUUGAACGCACAUUGCGCCCUCUGGUAUUCCUAAGGGCAUGCCUGUUUGAGAAUCAGUUUAAACCUUCAACCUUUUUUUCUUUUUUCGAAAAGUAACUAGGGUUGGAUUUGGGAUUCCUCCAUGCAUUUGGAGAAACCUUAAUAACAACUGUUGCUUUGUUUUUACUAUGGUAUUUACAAAACGGUAUGACCAUUGAACGAAAGUUCUUUAUUAUAUCCAUGGAGUUUAUAUCAUAUAAUGAUGGGGUACAAAAACUUAUUUCACGAAGAGACAAUUUUUGACUCUUUAAGACUUGAUCUCAAAUCAGACAAGACUACCCGCUGAACUUAA